rnacentral:tRNA from 1 species
GGGUAGAUGGGUCCUGGUGGGUUCCAUGGACUUCAAAUCCAGUGACGGGCAGCGAGCCUGUCCGUGGUGGGUUCGAUUCCCACAUACUCCC